AUGCCCAGUCCCCGCAGGGGCCCACGCGAGAGGCGCCUCUACCCAGCGGGCACUCAAGGCCGGAGGGCCCCGACCCCCGCCUUUCCCACUACCCUGUGGACGCCGAGGCACCGGGCCUGGACCACCACGGCAGGUGCCGCUCGGGAGGCCGACCCGGAGGAAAACGCCCGGGCCACCUGCCCUCGAGGGGCCCGCCCCUCCCCAAGGAUGCUGAGCCGCCCCUCCACCUCCCCGCCGCGGCGGCCGCCCAGCCCUGCCCUCCCUCGCCGGGCCGGCCGCCUCCCCCCGCCGCCGCCGCAGCCCGGCUUCACCUCCGCAGGCCACCGAGGCCGCUGCCGCUGCCGCAGCCCGGGCCCGCCUUCGAAAGCCGGCGGGAGCCAGGAGAGCUGCGGAGGUGGACCGGCGCCACCCCGCACUCGCGUCUCCAGAUAGGAAGCCUGCCAGUCAUCCCUGACUUCCUCUUGAUCAGCUGCCCCCACCUCCACCACGCACGCGCACACACACACACACACACACACACACGCUGUAAAUCCCCAAAACCUGUCUCUUUAACAGCAUUCAAUUCCAUCCUUUUUUUUUUUUGAGGAAGAUUAGCCCUGAGCUAACAUCUGCUCCCAAUCUUCCUCUUUUUUUUUGCUGAGGAAGAUGGGCCCUGAGCUAACGUCCGUGCCCAUCUUCCUCUACUUUAUAUGUGGGAUGCCUGCCGAAGCAUGACUUGACAAGCUGUGCAUAGGUCGGCACCGGGGAUCUGAACUGGCAAACCCCAGGCCACCGAAGUGGAACGUAUGAACUUAACCACUGCGCCACCAGGCUGGUCCCCAAUUCUUUUUUUUUUUUUUCACUUCCUUACUCACACAACAUUAGCUUAGAUCAUCAUUUUAUCAUACGCCCCACCACUUUCACUCCUAGAUAUACGCCCAAGAGAAAUGAAAACAUAUGUCUGCACAGUAACUUGUACACAAAUGUUCAUAAUGACAGUAUUCAUAGUAGCCAAAAGGUGGAAACAACCCAAACACGCACCAAGAAAGACAUGCAUAAACAAUUUGUGGUAAAUACAUAAGAUGGAAUAUAGUUUAGUCAUAAAAAGUAAGGAAGUACUGACAUAUGCAACAACUUGGAUGAACCUUGAAAACAUGCUAAGUGAAAAAAGCCAGACGCAAAAGAUCACGUAGUGAAUGAUUUCUUUUAUAUGAUAUAUCAGAAUAGGCAAAUCCACAGAGACAGAACCACAUUAGUGGCUCCCAGGAAUGAGAGUCGCAGGCAGUGACCAAGUAACAUAUGGAUGUUUCCAUGGAGUGAUGAAAAAGUAUUGAAACUAGAGAGAAGUAGUUACACAACGUUGUGAAUAUACUAAAUGCCAUUGACUUGUGUUCUUUGUAACAGUUAAUUGUGUGGUAUGUGAAUUUCACCUCAACAGAAAACAAGUAAAACAAUGCUAGAUAUCACCUUCUGCUAGCGAGAUGGAUUAGUUUUUGCAAACUUGUAAGCAAUUCUGAUCUCGUUUACUUCUCAAUGAAACGGGAAGUUUGUCUGCAAUUUACAGCCAAACUUGUGGGCAUGACCAAGUGUCUGCUUCAAAGGGGGAAAGUGUUCUCUUUUUGUAACCUCUCUUGGGGCAAAAACUGUGGGCUGUGGUCACAUUCAGUUGUAAUUCCAGUACUUGAGUUACACUGAGGAACAAGCUGCAUGGGCAGGCUCUCCUUUAGCAGCAACAUUCAAUAAUAAAAGAAAACUAAUUUCUGGAUAAAGACUUCUC
rnacentral:lncRNA from 1 species